AUUCGCAUCAUGCGUCUUCAUAUAAGCCCCGUGCAGCAAUGCGCGUGUGACACAUUUUAUCGUUUGACUGAAAUUUAAGAACUUUAAGAGAAACUUUUAACAAUGGAUCUCUUGGCUCUCGCAUCGAUGAAGAACGCAGUUAUGUGCGAUAUCUAGUGCGAUUUGCAUGAAUCUGUGAGUCAUCGAGUUUUUGAACGCAACUUGCGCCCAGCAAUGGGCAUGUCUGUUCGAGUACCGCAAUAAAAAAAUGUUUUAUACGAUUCGAUUAAACUAAUAGUUUGAUCUAAAAGAGUGUUUUCUCUUGGGAAAAGAGUUCCACGCUAGAGACGCAAGUCUUCUUGGGCCCUCCUCCCUCUCUAACCUCUGGUCUCGAAUCAGGCAAGAUUACCCGCUGAACUUAAGCAUAUCAU
rnacentral:sRNA from 1 species